rnacentral:lncRNA from 1 species
GUCUGGUUACUCAAGGUCCUUUGAAUACUUUUUGUUUUUCAACACAAAAGGCAACAAUCAAGGGGCAUGACAUAUAAAUAGUCAAUUCAGUUUAAAUAUUCAUCAUAAUUAAAAGUAAAAUUAUUUGUUAUAAUGAAGUAUUAGCAUAUCAUAAUCAUUAUGUAUGUUUUUCUGUAUUUACAACAAAUACAUAUACAAAUCACAUUGUGGGGAAUAUUAAUCUAAUGAUGAAUGCACUCUCUAUACAAUGAAGAAAAUCCCCAAUAAAAAAUGAAAUUUAAAGUAUUUGAAUACCAGAAUUAUACAAAAAGAAUCACUGGUGUGACACUUUCCAAAGUUUCUUCGUAUGUAUGAUGUCAUCUUAAGUCUUCAUAAUCUAAUGUCUUUUAGAAAUUUGUUUUUAUUUAUGCCAAGGUUCUCUAAGUUUUAUUUAGAUAGGCAUUUAUAUUGUUAUGGUAUAAAUGAUAAAAUUAUGUUUUUUCAAAGUUAAAUGCAAUUGGGGGGAAAAGAUUAAUACUACACAUAUCAAGUAAGAAACAACACAGUUCAUACCUACAAGGUACU